GACGAACGCUGGCGGCGUGCCUAAUACAUGCAAGUAGAACGCUGAAGCGAGGAGCUUGCUCUUCUUGGAUGAGUUGCGAACGGGUGAGUAACGCGUAGGUAACCUGCCUUGUAGCGGGGGAUAACUAUUGGAAACGAUAUCUAAUACCGCAUAACAAUGGAUGACACAUGGCAUUUAUUUGAAAGGGGCAAUUGCUCCACUACAAGAUGGACCUGCGUUGUAUUAGCUAGUAGGUGAGGUAAUGGCUCACCUAGGCGACGAUACAUAGCCGACCUGAGAGGGUGAUCGGCCACACUGGGACGGAGACACGGCCCAGACUCCUAGGGGAGGCAGCAGUAGGGAAUCUUCGGCAAGGGGGGCAACCCUGACCGAGCAACGCCGCGUGAGGGAAGAAGGUUUUCGGAUCGUAAAGCUCUGUUGUAAGUCAAGAACGGGUGUGAGAGUGGAAAGUUCACACUGUGACGGUAGCUUACCAGAAAGGGACGGCUAACUACGUG
rnacentral:rRNA from 1 species